UGGGGAAUAUUGGACAAUGGGGGCAACCCUGAUCCAGCCAUGCCGCGUGAGUGAUGAAGGCCUUCGGGUUGUAAAGCUCUUUUGGCGGGGACGAUGAUGACGGUACCCGCAGAAUAAGCCCCGGCUAACUUCGUGCCAGCAGCCGCGGUAAGACGAAGGGGGCACGCGUUGUUCGGAAUUACUGGGCGUAAAGGGCGCGUAGGCGGUUUGCUUAGUCAGGCGUGAAAGCCCUGGGCUUAACCUGGGAUGUGCGCUUGAUACUGGCAGGCUUGAGUGUGGGAGAGGUUGGUGGAAUUCCCAGUGUAUAGGUUAAAUUCGUAGAUAUUGGGAAGAACACCGGUGGCGAAGGCGGCCAACUGGACCACAACUGACGCUGAGGCGCGAAAGCGUGG
rnacentral:rRNA from 1 species